rnacentral:rRNA from 1 species
AGCUCCAAUAGCGUAUAUUAAAGUUGUUGCGGUUAAAAAGCUCGUAGUUGGAUUUCUGUCGAGAACGGCCGGUCCGCACUAUGUGCGUGUAUCUGGUUCGGUCUUGGCAUCCUCUUGGAGAACGUAACUGCGCUUGAUUGCGUGGUGCGGUAUUCAAGACUUUUACUUUGAGGAAAUUAGAGUGUUCACGGCAGGCAAGCGCCUUGAAUAUAUUAGCAUGGAAUAAUAAUAUAGGAUCUCGGUUCUAUUUUGUUGGUUUCUAGAAUCAGGAUAAUGAUUAAUAGGGAUAAUUGGGGGCAUUUGUAUUAACGCGUCAGAGGUGGAAUUCUUGGAUUGCGUUACGACAAACUACUGCGAAAGCAUUUGCCAAGGAUGUUUUCA